rnacentral:rRNA from 1 species
GCUCAAAUUUGAAAUCUGGCCCUUUCGGGGUCGAGUUGUAAUUUGUAGAGGAUGUUUCGGGAGCGGCGCCGGUUUAAGCCCCUUGGAACAGGGCGUCAUAGAGGGUGAGAAUCCCGUAUGUGACUGGCGACCAACCCCAUGUGAAACCCCUUCGACGAGUCGAGUUGUUUGGGAAUGCAGCUCAAAAUGGGUGGUAUAUUUCAUCUAAAGCUAAAUACCGGCCAGAGACCGAUAGCGCACAAGUAGAGUGAUCGAAAGAUGAAAAGCACUUUGGAAAGAGAGUCAAACAGUACGUGAAAUUGUUGAAAGGGAAGCGCUGGCAACCAGACCUGUCCGUGGGCUUCAGCCUCCGUUCUCGGAGGUGUACUUGUCCGCGAUCAGGCCAGCAUCGGUUCGGGCGGUUGGAUAAAGGCCUUGGGAAUGUAGCUUCCCCCGGGAAGUCUUAUAGCCCUUGGCGCAAUGCGGCCAGCCCGGACCGAGGACCGCGCUUCGGCUAGGAUGCUGGCGUAAUGGU